UGAGUAACGCGUGAGCAACCUGCCUUUAUCAGGGGGAUAACGCAUCGAAAGAUGUGCUAAUACCGCGUAAGACCACAGCCUCACAUGGGGCAGGGGUCAAAGGAGCAAUCCGGAUAAAGAUGGGCUCGCGUCCGAUUAGCUAGUUGGUGAGAUAACAGCCCACCAAGGCGACGAUCGGUAGCCGACCUGAGAGGGUGAUCGGCCACAUUGGAACUGAGAGACGGUCCAGACUCCUACGGGAGGCAGCAGUGGGGAAUAUUGGGCAAUGGGCGAAAGCCUGACCCAGCAACGCCGCGUGAGGGAAGAAGGGUUUCGGCUCGUAAACCUCUGUCCUAUGGGACGAAGGAAGUGACGGUACCAUAGGAGGAAGCCCCGGCUAACUACGUGCCAGCAGCCGCGGUAAUACGUAGGGGGCGAGCGUUGUCCGGAAUGAUUGGGCGUAAAGGGCGCGUAGGCGGCCUGUUAAGUCUGAAGUGAAAGUCCUGCUUUCAAGGUGGGAAGUGCUUUGGAUACUGGUGGGCUGGAGUGCA
rnacentral:rRNA from 1 species